GUCUAUGGCCAUGUCACCCUGAACAAGCCCGAUCCCGUCUGAUCUUGGAAGCUAAGCAGGGUCAGGCCUGGUUAGUACUUGGAUGGGAGACCACCUAGUAAGAUCAGGUGCUGUAGGCG
rnacentral:rRNA from 1 species